rnacentral:rRNA from 1 species
AUUGAACGCUGGCGGCAUGCUUUACACAUGCAAGUCGAACGGUAACAGGCCGCAAGGUGCUGACGAGUGGCGCACGGGUGAGUAAUGCAUCGGAACGUGCCCAGUCGUGGGGGAUAACUACUCGAAAGAGUAGCUAAUACCGCAUACGAUCUAUGGAUGAAAGCGGGGGACCGUAAGGCCUCGCGCGAUUGGAGCGGCUGAUGUCAGAUUAGGUAGUUGGUGGGGUAAAGGCUCACCAAGCCAACGAUCUGUAGCUGGUCUGAGAGGACGACCAGCCACACUGGGACUGAGACACGGCCCAGACUCCUACGGGAGGCAGCAGUGGGGAAUUUUGGACAAUGGGCGCAAGCCUGAUCCAGCAAUGCCGCGUGCAGGAAGAAGGCCUUCGGGUUGUAAACUGCUUUUGUACGGAACGAAACGGCUCUGGUUAAUACCCGGGGCUAAUGACGGUACCGUAAGAAUAAGCACCGGCUAACUACGUG